rnacentral:rRNA from 1 species
AUUGAACGCUGGCGGCAUGCUUUACACAUGCAAGUCGAACGGUAACAGGGAGCUCGCUCCGCUGACGAGUGGCGAACGGGUGAGUAAUGCGUCGGAACGUGCCGAGUAGUGGGGGAUAACGCAGCGAAAGUUGUGCUAAUACCGCAUACGUACUGAGGUAGAAAGUGGGGGACCUUCGGGCCUCACGCUAUUCGAGCGGCCGACGUCUGAUUAGCUAGUAGGUGAGGUAAAGGCUCACCUAGGCGACGAUCAGUAGCGGGUCUGAGAGGAUGAUCCGACACACUGGGACUGAGACACGGCCCAGACUCCUACGGGAGGCAGCAGUGGGGAAUUUUGGACAAUGGGCGAAAGCCUGAUCCAGCCAUGCCGCGUGUCUGAAGAAGGCCUUCGGGUUGUAAAGGACUUUUGUCGGGGAGGAAAUCCCCAGCGCUAAUACCGCUGGGGGAUGACAGUACCUGAAGAAUAAGCACCGGCUAACUACGUGCCAGCCGCCGCCGUAA